UGGGGAAUAUUGCACAAUGGGGGAAACCCUGAUGCAGCGACGCCGCGUGAACGAAGAAGGUAUUCGUAUCGUAAAGUUCUGUCCUAUGGGAAGAUAAUGACAGUACCAUAGAAGAAAGCUCCGGCUAAAUACGUGCCAGCAGCCGCGGUAAUACGUAUGGAGCGAGCGUUGUCCGGAAUUAUUGGGCGUAAAGGGUACGCAGGCGGUUUAAUAAGUCGAAUGUUAAAGAUCGGGGCUCAACCCCGCAAAGCAUUGGAGACUGAUAAACUUGAGUAGUGGAGAGGAAAGUGGAAUUCCUAGUGUAGUGGUGAAAUACGUAGAUAUUAGGAGGAAUACCAGUAGCGAAGGCGACUUUCUGGACACAAACUGACGCUGAGGUACGAAAGCGUGGGGAGCAAACAGG
rnacentral:rRNA from 1 species